rnacentral:rRNA from 1 species
GACGAACGCUGGCGGCGUGCUUAACACAUGCAGGUCGAACGGAAAGGCCCUGCUUUUGUGGGGUGCUCGAGUGGCGAACGGGUGAGUAACACGUGAGUAACCUGCCCUUGACUUUGGGAUAACUUCAGGAAACUGGGGCUAAUACCGGAUAGGAGCUCCUGCUGCAUGGUGGGGGUUGGAAAGUUUCGGCGGUGGGGGAUGGACUCGCGGCUUAUCAGCUUGUUGGUGGGGUAGUGGCUUACCAAGGCUUUGACGGGUAGCCGGCCUGGGAGGGUGACCGGCCACAUUGGGACUGAGAUACGGCCCAGACUCCUACGGGAGGCAGCAGUGGGGAAUAUUGCACAAUGGGCGGAAGCCUGAUGCAGCAACGCCGCGUGCGGGAUGACGGCCUUCGGGUUGUAAACCGCUUUCGCAUGUGACGAAGCGUGAGUGACGGUAAUGGGUAAAGAAGCACCGGCUAACUACGUG